rnacentral:rRNA from 1 species
UACGUAGGGUGCAAGCGUUGUCCGGAAUUAUUGGGCGUAAAGAGCUCGUAGGCGGUCUGUCGCGUCUGCUGUGAAAUCCCGGGGCUCAACCCCGGGCUUGCAGUGGAUACGGGCAGACUAGAGUUCGGUAGGGGAGACUGGAAUUCCUGGUGUAGCGGUGAAAUGCGCAGAUAUCAGGAGGAACACCGGUGGCGAAGGCGGGUCCCUGGGCCGAUACUGACGCUGAGGAGCGAAAGCGUGGGGAGCGAACAGG